rnacentral:misc_RNA from 1 species
AACCAUAGAAACCUGCGGAGUACCUGCGGAAGGAUCAUUAUUGGAUUUUCCCAAAGAAAAAUGUUGUGCUUUCUUUCUUUCUCUUGAGAGAGAGAGAGAGAGAGAGAGAACAGUGCAAUGUUUUUCUCAAACAAACGAUCACAACUAGCAAGAGAAAAGGAAAUUGAUUUGGUUGGAAACAAGUGUUUGCCUGAUAAUCAAGAUGAUUUGGAUUGAAGAAAGAAAAACAACUUUUAGCAA